rnacentral:rRNA from 1 species
UACGGGGGGGGCAAGCGUUGUUCGGAAUUACUGGGCGUAAAGGGCUCGUAGGCGGCCAACUAAGUCAGACGUGAAAUCCCUCGGCUUAACCGGGGAACUGCGUCUGAUACUGGAUGGCUUGAGAUUGGGAGAGGGAUGCGGAAUUCCAGGUGUAGCGGUGAAAUGCGUAGAUAUCUGGAGGAACACCGGUGGCGAAGGCGACAUCCUGGACCAACACUGACGCUGAGGAGCGAAAGCCAGGGGAGCAAACGGGG